rnacentral:rRNA from 1 species
UUAAGUUAUUAAGGGCGCACGGUGGAUGCCUUGGCACUAGAAGCCGAUGAAGGACGUUACUAACGACGAUAUGCUUUGGGGAGCUGUAAGUAAGCUUUGAUCCAGAGAUUUCCGAAUGGGGAAACCCAGCAUGAGUUAUGUCAUGUUAUCGAUAUGUGAAUACAUAGCAUAUCAGAAGGCACACCCGGAGAACUGAAACAUCUUAGUACCCGGAGGAAGAGAAAGAAAAUUCGAUUCCCUUAGUAGCGGCGAGCGAAACGGGAAGAGCCCAAACCAAAAAGCUUGCUUGUUGGGGUUGUAGGACACUCUAUACGGAGUUACAAAGGACGACAUUAGACGAAUCAUCUGGAAAGAUGAAUCAAAGAAGGUAAUAAUCCUGUAGUCGAAAAUGUUGUCUCUCUUGAGUGGAUCCUGAGUACGACGGAGCACGUGAAAUUCCGUCGGAAUCUGGGAGGACCAUCUCCUAAGGCUAAAUACUCUCUAGUGACCGAUAGUGAACCAGUACCGUGAGGGAAAGGUGAAAAGCACCCCGGAAGGGGAGUGAAAUAGAACCUGAAACCGUGUGCUUACAAGUAGUCAGAGCCCGUUAAUGGGUGAUGGCGUGCCUUUUGUAGAAUGAACCGGCGAGUUACGAUUUGAUGCAAGGUUAAGCAGUAAAUGUGGAGCCGUAGCGAAAGCGAGUCUGAAUAGGGCGUUUAGUAUUUGGUCGUAGACCCGAAACCAGGUGAUCUACCCUUGGUCAGGUUGAAGUUCAGGUAACACUGAAUGGAGGACCGAACCGACUUACGUUGAAAAGUGAGCGGAUGAACUGAGGGUAGCGGAGAAAUUCCAAUCGAACCUGGAGAUAGCUGGUUCUCUCCGAAAUAGCUUUAGGGAUAGCCUCAAGUGAUGAUUAUUGGAGGUAGAGCACUGUUUGGACGAGGGGCCCCUCUCGGGUUACCGAAUUCAGACAAACUCCGAAUGCCAAUUAAUUUAACUUGGGAGUCAGAACAUGGGUGAUAAGGUCCGUGUUCGAAAGGGAAACAGCCCAGACCACCAGCUAAGGUCCCAAAAUAUAUGUUAAGUGGAAAAGGAUGUGGCGUUGCCCAGACAACUAGGAUGUUGGCUUAGAAGCAGCCAUCAUUUAAAGAGUGCGUAAUAGCUCACUAGUCGAGUGACACUGCGCCGAAAAUGUACCGGGGCUAAACAUAUUACCGAAGCUGUGGAUUGUCCUUUGGACAAUGGUAGGAGAGCGUUCUAAGGGCGUUGAAGCAUGAUCGUAAGGACAUGUGGAGCGCUUAGAAGUGAGAAUGCCGGUGUGAGUAGCGAAAGACGGGUGAGAAUCCCGUCCACCGAUUGACUAAGGUUUCCAGAGGAAGGCUCGUCCGCUCUGGGUUAGUCGGGUCCUAAGCUGAGGCCGACAGGCGUAGGCGAUGGAUAACAGGUUGAUAUUCCUGUACCACCUAUAAUCGUUUUAAUCGAUGGGGGGACGCAGUAGGAUAGGCGAAGCGUGCGAUUGGAUUGCACGUCUAAGCAGUAAGGCUGAGUAUUAGGCAAAUCCGGUACUCGUUAAGGCUGAGCUGUGAUGGGGAGAAGACAUUGAGUCUUCGAGUCGUUGAUUUCACACUGCCGAGAAAAGCCUCUAGAUAGAAAAUAGGUGCCCGUACCGCAAACCGACACAGGUAGUCAAGAUGAGAAUUCUAAGGUGAGCGAGCGAACUCUCGUUAAGGAACUCGGCAAAAUGACCCCGUAACUUCGGGAGAAGGGGUGCUCUUUAGGGUUAACGCCCAGAAGAGCCGCAGUGAAUAGGCCCAAGCGACUGUUUAUCAAAAACACAGGUCUCUGCUAAACCGUAAGGUGAUGUAUAGGGGCUGACGCCUGCCCGGUGCUGGAAGGUUAAGAGGAGUGGUUAGCUUCUGCGAAGCUACGAAUCGAAGCCCCAGUAAACGGCGGCCGUAACUAUAACGGUCCUAAGGUAGCGAAAUUCCUUGUCGGGUAAGUUCCGACCCGCACGAAAGGCGUAACGAUUUGGGCACUGUCUCAACGAGAGACUCGGUGAAAUCAUAGUACCUGUGAAGAUGCAGGUUACCCGCGACAGGACGGAAAGACCCCGUGGAGCUUUACUGUAGCCUGAUAUUGAAAUUCGGCACAGCUUGUACAGGAUAGGUAGGAGCCUUUGAAACGUGAGCGCUAGCUUACGUGGAGGCGCUGGUGGGAUACUACCCUAGCUGUGUUGGCUUUCUAACCCGCACCACUUAUCGUGGUGGGAGACAGUGUCAAGCGGGCAGUUUGACUGGGGCGGUCGCCUCCUAAAAGGUAACGGAGGCGCUCAAAGGUUCCCUCAGAAUGGUUGGAAAUCAUUCAUAGAGUGUAAAGGCAUAAGGGAGCUUGACUGCGAGACCUACAAGUCGAGCAGGGUCGAAAGACGGACUUAGUGAUCCGGUGGUUCCGCAUGGAAGGGCCAUCGCUCAACGGAUAAAAGCUACCCCGGGGAUAACAGGCUUAUCUCCCCCAAGAGUUCACAUCGACGGGGAGGUUUGGCACCUCGAUGUCGGCUCAUCGCAUCCUGGGGCUGUAGUCGGUCCCAAGGGUUGGGCUGUUCGCCCAUUAAAGCGGUACGCGAGCUGGGUUCAGAACGUCGUGAGACAGUUCGGUCCCUAUCCGUCGUGGGCGUAGGAAAUUUGAGAGGAGCUGUCCUUAGUACGAGAGGACCGGGAUGGACAUACCUCUGGUGUACCAGUUGUCGUGCCAACGGCAUAGCUGGGUAGCUAUGUGUGGACGGGAUAAGUGCUGAAAGCAUCUAAGCAUGAAGCCCCCCUCAAGAUGAGAUUUCCCAACUUCGGUUAUAAGAUCCCUCAAAGAUGAUGAGGUUAAUAGGUUCGAGGUGGAAGCAUGGUGACAUGUGGAGCUGACGAAUACUAAUCGAUCGAAGACUUAAUCAA